GUGCUGGCUGUCCCUGGUGACAGACUGCAGCCCAGCCAUAGCCUGGGGGAGGGAGUGGGUUGCAGCAGAUGUGCACAUCUGGAUCACCUGCCCCUAACCCAGCACACUCCAACUUCUCCAUGGCUUUGGCUUCCACAGGACAUUUCUCGGGGUGGCCUCCUCUCUGAGUGUAACCAUCAUUUAAAGAAACCCUUCCGCCCAGCAUGGUGUCUCAGGCCUAUAAUCGCAGCACUUUGGGAGGCCAAGGCAGAUGGAUCAUUUGAGGUCAGAAGUUUGAGACCAGCCUAACCAACAUAGCAAAACCCCAUCUCUACUAAAAAUUACAAAAAAUUGGCUGGGUGCAGUGGCUCACACCUGUAAUCCCAGCAGUUUUGGAGGCCGAGGCAGGCAGAUCACGAGGUCAGGAGAUCAAGACCAUCCUGGCCAACAUGGUGAAACCCCAUCUCUACUAAAAUACAAAAAGUUAGUUGGGCAUGGUGUUGUACGCCUGCAGUCCUUGCUACUCGGGAGGCUGGGGCCGGGGAAUUGCAUGAACCCAGGAGGCGGAGACUGCAGUGAACUGAGAUAGUGCCACUGCAUUCCAGCCUGGCGACAGAGCGAGACUCCAUCUCAAAAAAAAAAAAAAAAAAAAAUUACAAAAAUUAGCCAGGUGUGGUGGUGCACGCCUGUAAUCCCAGCUACUCAGGAGGCUGAGGAACAAGAAUCACUUGAACCCAGGAGGCGGAGGUCGCAGUGAGCCAAGAUUUUACCACUGCAGUCCAGCCUCCAGCCUGGGUGACAGAGCAAGACUAUCUCAAAAGAAAAGAAAAGAAAAAAAGAAAAGAAAAGAAAAGUGAGAAAGAGAGAGAGAGAGAGGAAAAGAAAAGAAAAGAAAGAAAAAAGAAAAGAAAACAAAGAAAAGAAAAGAAAACAGCCUCAUCAAAUUUUGGUGUGGUAUAAAAGAAGAGUAUUCUCAAUUGCCAAAUGGCUAUUAAAAAUACUCAGCCCUUUUCCAGCUACAUAUCUCUGUGAAUUUGGAUUUUUUUUUUGCUUCCUUCAACAACAACAAAAAACCGUAAUGCAACAGAUUGAAUGCAGAGGCAAAUAUAAGAAUCCAGCUUUCUUCUACUUAGGCAGACAUAAAAGAGAUUUGUGAAAUUGUAAAUGUUUGGUGUCCUCAAAGUACUUAGGUGUAUAAAAGUGUCCUGAGACCCAAAGUGCGAGAACCUCUGUGGGUUUAACACUGAGUUAAAUCCAGGUAUAUUGUGUAUUAUUUGAUUCUCACAAGAAUCCUAAGAGGUAGACUUUAUCAUCCCUAUUUUCUAGAUGGGGCUAAGAAUCUCAGGUUAAAAAACUUCCCUAAUGAUUUGUUCCUUUGACUCUCUAAUGCCAAAAUGUAUGGCUUCCCAGAAUUCGUGUUAAAGCCCAGUUAGUCUCAUCAAGGAUAAUGAUAACCAAGGGACACAGACUCAAAGUCUGGCUGUGUAUCACCUUGCCCACUCUGCUACCUCAUUCCUCAAGGAAAUUUACUGGAGAAAAGUUCAGUACUUUAUGGGAGACAAGGCCCAAUUUCCUGGACUUCUAGGAGCUGGGACUUGACUGGCAGCAGCUUGCUUUUCCUACCCGGGAUUGACAGGAGCCAAUUAUCAAAGCAGCUUCCCACCCCUGGAACCCUGCAUUGAUUGGCUCCCCUCAAGCCUCCAUUUCCAGCUGUCCUCCUCCACUCAGGCCAGUUCUCUCCCUCCAGCAUCGCAUCUGAGUGAUGCAUAAUCUCCAGCCAAAGCCCUAUAGCCACCCCUCUUCUGCCACAUCUUCACCAGCUUCUGGUGGACCCCUCAAUUCCCACAGCCAGAGCUGCCCUGUGGAAUGCCCCACCAGUGGGCUCUUGCUCUGGUUCCUUCUUAGGAGGCUUUUCUGUGGAUGCAUUCAACAUCCUUUUCUCCUUAUUUGGGACCUGACUUCCCUUCUUGAUGCCAUUUCCCUCCAUCUUAAGAACAUAAUGUGUCUACUUGAGCCCCUAGAAGUCUGGGCUAGGACGAGGGGCCAAGAGGAAUCUAACUUCAUCUGCUAGACCCAGGACCAACCUCCAUUCUUCCUCCACGCAGAGCCUUCACCAUGUGCCUAAGCCCUCUCCCUCCCAUCCUUGGAAGUGCAUCUAAUAAGGCAGUGCAUCUCAUGACUGCAAGACCACCCCCAUAGUCUUUUGGGGUCUCUCUUCCAGUUUCUUCUGUACCCCAUACCUUCCCCUCCUCUUAGGUGAUUUCACUUGAAAUUAUUUUAUGUUAGCAUUAUUUUUUUCAGUGCUGUGACAGGUAGAAAUUGGUAUAUUAAUCUGUUCUCGUGCUGCUAAUAAAGACAUACCCAAGACUGGGUAACUUAUAAAGAAAAGUUUUAAUGGACUCACAUUUCCACGUGGCUGGGGAGGCCUCACAAUCAUAGCAGAAGGUGAAGGAGGAGCAAAGUCAUGUCUUACAUGGCAGCAGGCAAGAGGGCAUGUGUAGGGGAACUGCCCUUUCUGAAACCAUCAGAUCUCAUGAGCCUUAUUCACUAUCAUGAGAACAGCAUGGGAAAAACCUACCCCCAUGAUUCAAUUACCUGGCAUCAGGUACCUCCCUUGACACAUGGGGAUUAUGGGAGCUACAAUUCAAGAUGAGAUUUGGGUGGGGAUACAAUCAAACCAUAUCAUUCUGCCCCUGGCCCCUCCCAUGUCUCAUGUCCUCACAUUUCAAAACCAUCAUGCCUUCCCAACAGUCCCCUAAAGUCUUAACUCAUUUCAGCAUUAACUCAAAUAUCCACAGUCCAAAGUCUCAUCUGAGACAAGUCAUGUCCCUUUGGCCUAUGAGUCUGGAAAAUCAAAAGCAAAUUAGUUACUUCCAAGAUACAAUGAGGCUAAAGGCAUUGGGCAAAGGUUCCUAUUCCAAAUGGGAGAAAUUGGCCAAAAAAAAGGGGCUACAGGUCCCAUGCAAGUCUGAAAUCCAUUGAGGGCAGUCAAAUCUUAAAGCUCCAAAAUAAUCUCUUUGACCGUAUGUCUCACUUCCAGGUCAUGUUGAUGCAAGACAUGGGUUCGCAUGGUCUUGGGCAGCUCUGCCCUGUGGCUUUGCAGGGUACAGUCCCACUCCUGGCUGCUUUCACAGGCUGGUUGAGUAUCUGUGACUUUUCCAGGCACACAGUGCAAGCUGUUGGUGGAUCUAACAUUCUGGCACCUGGA
rnacentral:lncRNA from 1 species